rnacentral:rRNA from 1 species
GGGUUGUGAGGUUAAGCGACUAAGCGUACACGGUGGAUGCCCUGGCAGUCAGAGGCGAUGAAGGACGUGCUAAUCUGCGAAAAGCGCCGGCGAGGUGAUAUGAACCUUUGACCCGGCGAUGUCCGAAUGGGGAAACCCAGUGCAAUCCGUUGCACUAUCGUUAACUGAAUACAUAGGUUAACGAGGCGAACCGGGGGAACUGAAACAUCUAAGUACCCCGAGGAAAAGAAAUCAACCGAGAUUCCCCCAGUAGCGGCGAGCGAACGGGGAGCAGCCCGGAGUCUGAAUCAGCUUGUGUGUUAGUGGAACGGUCUGGAAAGUCCGACGGUACAGGGUGAUAGUCCCGUACACGAAAGCACACAUGCUGUGAACUCGAAGAGUAGGGCGGGACACGUGGUAUCCUGUCUGAAUAUGGGGGGACCAUCCUCCAAGGCUAAAUACUCCUGACUGACCGAUAGUGAACCAGUACCGUGAGGGAAAGGCGAAAAGAACCCCGGCGAGGGGAGUGAAAAAGAACCUGAAACCGUGUACGUACAAGCAGUGGGAGCCUCUUUAUGGGGUGACUGCGUACCUUUUGUAUAAUGGGUCAGCGACUUAUAUUCUGUAGCAAGGUUAACCGUAUAGGGGAGCCGAAGGGAAACCGAGUCUUAACUGGGCGUUAAGUUGCAGGGUAUAGACCCGAAACCCGGUGAUCUAGCCAUGGGCAGGUUGAAGGUUGGGUAACACUAACUGGAGGACCGAACCGACUAAUGUUGAAAAAUUAGCGGAUGACCUGUGGCUGGGGGUGAAAGGCCAAUCAAACCGGGAGAUAGCUGGUUCUCCCCGAAAGCUAUUUAGGUAGCGCCUCGUGAACUCAUCUUCGGGGGUAGAGCACUGUUUCGGCUAGGGGGCCAUCCCGGCUUACCAACCCGAUGCAAACUACGAAUACCGAAGAAUGUUAUCACGGGAGACACACGGCGGGUGCUAACGUCCGUCGUGAAGAGGGAAACAACCCAGACCGCCAGCUAAGGUCCCAAAGUCAUGGUUAAGUGGGAAACGAUGUGGGAAGGCACAGACAGCCAGGAUGUUGGCUUAGAAGCAGCCAUCAUUUAAAGAAAGCGUAAUAGCUCACUGGUCGAGUCGGCCUGCGCGGAAGAUGUAACGGGGCUAAACCAUGCACCGAAGCUGCGGCAGCGACGCUUAGGCGUUGUUGGGUAGGGGAGCGUUCUGUAAGCCGUCGAAGGUGUCCUGUGAGGGGUGCUGGAGGUAUCAGAAGUGCGAAUGCUGACAUAAGUAACGAUAAAGCGGGUGAAAAGCCCGCUCGCCGGAAGACCAAGGGUUCCUGUCCAACGUUAAUCGGGGCAGGGUGAGUCGACCCCUAAGGCGAGGCCGAAAGGCGUAGUCGAUGGGAAACAGGUUAAUAUUCCUGUACUUGGUGUUACUGCGAAGGGGGGACGGAGAAGGCUAUGUCAGCCGGGCGACGGUUGUCCCGGUUUAAGCAUGUAGGCGGAGGUUCCAGGUAAAUCCGGUACCUUGUUAACGCUGAGGUGUGAUGACGAGGCACUACGGUGCUGAAGUGAUAAAUGCCCUGCUUCCAGGAAAAGCCUCUAAGCAUCAGGUAACACGAAAUCGUACCCCAAACCGACACAGGUGGUCAGGUAGAGAAUACCAAGGCGCUUGAGAGAACUCGGGUGAAGGAACUAGGCAAAAUGGUGCCGUAACUUCGGGAGAAGGCACGCUGAUGUGUAGGUGAAGCCCCUGCGGGCGGAGCUGAAAUCAGUCGAAGAUACCAGCUGGCUGCAACUGUUUAUUAAAAACACAGCACUGUGCAAACACGAAAGUGGACGUAUACGGUGUGACGCCUGCCCGGUGCCGGAAGGUUAAUUGAUGGGGUUAGCGGCAACGCGAAGCUCUUGAUCGAAGCCCCGGUAAACGGCGGCCGUAACUAUAACGGUCCUAAGGUAGCGAAAUUCCUUGUCGGGUAAGUUCCGACCUGCACGAAUGGCGUAAUGAUGGCCAGGCUGUCUCCACCCGAGACUCAGUGAAAUUGAACUCGCUGUGAAGAUGCAGUGUACCCGCGGCAAGACGGAAAGACCCCGUGAACCUUUACUAUAGCUUGACACUGAACACUGGUCCUUGAUGUGUAGGAUAGGUGGGAGGCUUUGAAGCGUGGACGCCAGUCUGCGUGGAGCCAACCUUGAAAUACCACCCUUUAAUGGCUGGUGUUCUAACGUAGACCCGUAAUCCGGGUUGCGGACAGUGUCUGGUGGGUAGUUUGACUGGGGCGGUCUCCUCCCAAAGAGUAACGGAGGAGCACGAAGGUUGGCUAAUCCUGGUCGGACAUCAGGAGGUUAGUGCAAUGGCAUAAGCCAGCUUGACUGCGAGCGUGACGGCGCGAGCAGGUGCGAAAGCAGGUCAUAGUGAUCCGGUGGUUCUGAAUGGAAGGGCCAUCGCUCAACGGAUAAAAGGUACUCCGGGGAUAACAGGCUGAUACCGCCCAAGAGUUCAUAUCGACGGCGGUGUUUGGCACCUCGAUGUCGGCUCAUCACAUCCUGGGGCUGAAGUAGGUCCCAAGGGUAUGGCUGUUCGCCAUUUAAAGUGGUACGCGAGCUGGGUUUAGAACGUCGUGAGACAGUUCGGUCCCUAUCUGCCGUGGGCGCUGGAGAAUUGAGGGGGGCUGCUCCUAGUACGAGAGGACCGGAGUGGACGCAUCACUGGUGUUCGGGUUGUCAUGCCAAUGGCACUGCCCGGUAGCUAAAUGCGGAAAAGAUAAGUGCUGAAAGCAUCUAAGCACGAAACUUGCCCCGAGAUGAGUUCUCCCUGAGACCUUGAGUCUCCUGAAGGAACGUUGAAGACGACGACGUUGAUAGGUCGGGUGUGUAAGCGCAGCGAUGCGUUGAGCUAACCGAUACUAAUGAACCGUGAGGCUUAACCUUACAACGCCGAAGCUGUU